rnacentral:tRNA from 1 species
GGAUUGUAGCUCAAUGGCACAGCACUUGCCUCACAUGCAUGAGGUGCCUGGGUUCAAUGCUCAGUACCA